AACAAGGUUUCCGUAGGUGAACCUGCGGAAGGAUCAUUAACGAAGUUUAAUUGGAGUUGUAGCUGACUGCUUUGGCAGUAUGUGCUCGCUUCAUUUCUUCAUUUCCACUUGUGCACCUUUGUAGGCUAUGUUAACUCUCGUGCGUUGGGCUUUUUAAGUCCUUCGUCGGAUUUCAGGAGGCUUGGUUGUCCUUUCAUUAGGUUUCCAUCCACUUGUUCUUCAUAGUUCCUAUGUCUUAUACACUCUUUAAUAACCUAGAAUGUCUUUUGUGGGUCUUGUACCUAUAAACUUAUACAACUUUUAACAACGGAUCUCUUGGCUCUCGCAUCGAUGAAGAACGCAGCGAAAUGCGAUAAGUAAUGUGAAUUGCAGAAUUCAGUGAAUCAUCGAAUCUUUGAACGCACCUUGCGCCCUUUGGUAUUCCGAAGGGCAUGCCUGUUUGAGUGUCAUUAAAUUCUCAAACCUCUUACUAGUUUAUUCUAGUCUUUGAGGCUUUGGAUAUGGGAGUCUUUGCUGGAACCUAUUCAUUUAGGGUUCAGCUCUCCUUAAAUGCAUUAGCGGUUAACUUGAUCCCCUUUCAUUGGUGUGAUAAUUAUCUACGCCUUUCGAAAUGAUCAGCAGAAUGUUAAUAGCUUCUAAUCAGUCCCUAGUCGGACAACUUUUAUGACCAUUUGACCUCAAAUCAGGUAGGACUACCCGCUGAACUUAAGCAUAUCAAUAAGCGGAGGAAAAGAAACUAACAAGGAUUCCCCUAGUAACUGCGAGUGAAGCGGGAAAAGCUCAAAUUUAAAAUCUGGCGGUUCUUGCAGCCGUCCGA
rnacentral:rRNA from 1 species